AGACCGUCGUGAGACAGG
rnacentral:ncRNA from 3 species